rnacentral:rRNA from 1 species
GGAAUUUUGGGCAAUGGGCGAAAGCCUGACCCAGCAACGCCGCGUGAGGGAUGAAGGCCUUCGGGUCGUAAACCUCUGUCGGAAGGGAAGAAAGGUGUCCGGUCGAACAGGCCGGGGGCUUGACGGUACCUUCCAAGGAAGCGCCGGCUAGCCCCGUGCCAGCAGCCGCGGUAAUACGGAGGGCGCAAGCGUUGUUCGGAAUCACUGGGCGUAAAGAGCGUGUAGGCGGCUUGGUAAGUCGGGUGUGAAAGCCCGGGGCCCAACCCCGGAAUGUCAUCCGAAACUGCCUCGCUCGAGUCCCGGAGAGGGUGGCGGAAUUUCCGGUGUAGAGGUGAAAUUCGUAGAUAUCGGAAGGAACACCAGUGGCGAAGGCGGCCACCUGGACGGUGACUGACGCUGAGACGCGAAAGCGUGGGGAGCAAAC